GGGAAAUGCUAAUACUACAGACCUCAAAGC
rnacentral:piRNA from 1 species